UACGAAGGGGGCUAGCGUUGCUCGGAAUUACUGGGCGUAAAGCGCGCGCAGGCGGUCCUUUAAGUCAGGGGUGAAAGCCCAGAGCUCAACUCUGGAACUGCCUUUGAAACUAGAGGACUUGGGUACGGGAGAGGUGAGUGGAAUUCCGAGUGUAGAGGUGAAAUUCGUAGAUAUUCGGAAGAACACCAGUGGCGAAGGCGGCAUCCUGGACCAAUUCUGACGCUGAGGAGCGAAAGCCAGGGGAGCAAACGGG
rnacentral:rRNA from 1 species